GAUGAACGCUGGCGGCGUGCCUAAUACAUGCAAGUCGAGCGAACGGACGAGAAGCUUGCUUCUCUGAUGUUAGCGGCGGACGGGUGAGUAACACGUGGAUAACCUACCUAUAAGACUAGGAUAACUUCGGGAAACCGGAGCUAAUACCGGAUGAUAUUUUGAACCGCAUGGUUCAAAAGUGAAAGACGGUCUUGCUGUCACUUAUAGAUGGAUCCGCGCUGCAUUAGCUAGUUGGUAAGGUAACGGCUUACCAAGGCAACGAUGCAUAGCCGACCUGAGAGGGUGAUCGGCCACACUGGAACUGAGACACGGUCCAGACUCCUACGGGAGGCAGCAGUAGGGAAUGUUCCGCAAUGGGCGAAAGCCUGACGGAGCAACGCCGCGUGAGUGAUGAAGGUCUUCGGAUCGUAAAACUCUGUUAUUAGGGAAGAACAGAUGUGUAAGUAACUGUGCACAUCUUGACGGUACCUAAUCAGAAAGCCACGGCUAACUACGUG
rnacentral:rRNA from 1 species